CGAACGCUGGCGGCGCGUUUUAAGCAUGCAAGUCGAACGGUAGAGUUCCUUCGGGAACUUGAGAGUGGCGAACGGGUGAGUAACACGUAGAUGAUCUGCCUUGAAGUUGGGGAUAGCCUAUAGAAAUAUGGGGUAAUACCGGAUAAUACCUUAGGACUUUGGUUUUUUGGUGAAAGGGGCUUCGGCCUCGCUUUGAGAUGAGUCUGCGGUCUAUUAGCUAGUUGGUAGGGUAAGAGCCUACCAAGGCGACGAUAGAUAGCCGGCCUGAGAGGGUGACCGGCCACAUUGGGACUGAGACACGGCCCAAACUCCUACGGGAGGCAGCAGCUAAGAAUCUUCCGCAAUGGGCGCAAGCCUGACGGAGCGACGCCGCGUGGACGAAGAAUGCCGAGAGGUUGUAAAGUCCUUUUAUAUGCGAAGAAUAAUGCCUUUAGGUAAUGAUCGGCAGAUGACGUUAGCAUAUGAAUAAGCUCCGGCCAAUUAC
rnacentral:rRNA from 1 species